rnacentral:rRNA from 1 species
GACCCUAUAGAGUUUAAUAUUUAAUUAAUAAAUUAUUUUUUAGAAUUUAAUGAUAAUUUAUUAAUUAAUUAUUUGAUUGGGGUGAUUGAAAAAUUAAAAUAACUUUUUUUAUAUAAAAACAUUAAUUUAUGAUUGUUUGAUCCAUUAAUUAUGAUUAUAAGAUUAAAUUACCUUAGGGAUAACAGCGUAAUUUUUUUUAAGAGUUCAAAUCGAAAAAAAAGAUUGCGACCUCGAUGUUGGAUUAAAAUUUAUUUUUGGUGUAGAAGCUAAAUUUAUUGGGUCUGUUCGACCUUUAAAAUUUUACAUGAUCUGA